rnacentral:rRNA from 1 species
UUGAACGCUGGCGGCAGGCCUAACACAUGCAAGUCGAGCGGUAGCACAGAGAGCUUGCUCUCGGGUGACGAGCGGCGGACGGGUGAGUAAUGUCUGGGAAACUGCCUGAUGGAGGGGGAUAACUACUGGAAACGGUAGCUAAUACCGCAUAACGUCGCAAGACCAAAGUGGGGGACCUUCGGGCCUCAUGCCAUCAGAUGUGCCCAGAUGGGAUUAGCUAGUAGGUGGGGUAACGGCUCACCUAGGCGACGAUCCCUAGCUGGUCUGAGAGGAUGACCAGCCACACUGGAACUGAGACACGGUCCAGACUCCUACGGGAGGCAGCAGUGGGGAAUAUUGCACAAUGGGCGCAAGCCUGAUGCAGCCAUGCCGCGUGUGUGAAGAAGGCCUUCGGGUUGUAAAGCACUUUCAGCGGGGAGGAAGGCGGUGAGGUUAAUAACCUCAUCGAUUGACGUUACCCGCAGAAGAAGCACCGGCUAACUCCGUGCCAGCAGCCGCGGUAAUACGGAGGGUGCAAGCGUUAAUCGGAAUUACUGGGCGUAAAGCGCACGCAGGCGGUCUGUCAAGUCGGAUGUGAAAUCCCCGGGCUUAACCUGGGAACUGCAUUCGAAACUGGCAGGCUAGAGUCUUGUAGAGGGGGGUAGAAUUCCAGGUGUAGCGGUGAAAUGCGUAGAGAUCUGGAGGAAUACCGGUGGCGAAGGCGGCCCCCUGGACAAAGACUGACGCUCAGGUGCGAAAGCGUGGGGAGCAAACAGGAUUAGAUACCCUGGUAGUCCACGCCGUAAACGAUGUCGAUUUGGAGGUUGUGCCCUUGAGGCGUGGCUUCCGGAGCUAACGCGUUAAAUCGACCGCCUGUGGAGUACGGCCGCAAGGUUAAAACUCAAAUGAAUUGACGGGGGCCCGCACAAGCGGUGGAGCAUGUGGUUUAAUUCGAUGCAACGCGAAGAACCUUACCUGGUCUUGACAUCCACAGAACUUAGCAGAGAUGCUUUGGUGCCUUCGGGAACUGUGAGACAGGUGCUGCAUGGCUGUCGUCAGCUCGUGUUGUGAAAUGUUGGGUUAAGUCCCGCAACGAGCGCAACCCUUAUCCUUUGUUGCCAGCGGUCCGGCCGGGAACUCAAAGGAGACUGCCAGUGAUAAACUGGAGGAAGGUGGGGAUGACGUCAAGUCAUCAUGGCCCUUACGACCAGGGCUACACACGUGCUACAAUGGCAUAUACAAAGAGAAGCGACCUCGCGAGAGCAAGCGGACCUCAUAAAGUAUGUCGUAGUCCGGAUUGGAGUCUGCAACUCGACUCCAUGAAGUCGGAAUCGCUAGUAAUCGUAGAUCAGAAUGCUACGGUGAAUACGUUCCCGGGCCUUGUACACACCGCCCGUCACACCAUGGGAGUGGGUUGCAAAAGAAGUAGGUAGCUUAACCUUCGGGAGGGCGCUUACCACUUUGUGAUUCAUGACUGGGGUG